UUCAGGCGCAACCCUUGUUCGACUGUGAUGUGAUUGAAAUUAGCCCAUAUCACAGCCGUGCUUAAGGGCUUCGUCGAAA
rnacentral:pre_miRNA from 1 species